GUGAAGUAUGCUGAACAUGUCUCUGCAUGUCCCGCGGGAGGCCGGACUGCCGGAGGACCUGUCGGGUUGCCCGCCCGCAGAGAGCAGCUGAUCCGGGCCGGGUCCACCCAGGUUCUUCCGUUGAUCUACAGAAUCAUGGCGGUUCACCAAGUGGUCUCCGGCCGGGCCGAGCCGGACCUUCGGCCCCUGAACCUGGAGGAUCCGAGGCGGCUGCGGGUCCUCUCUGCCCGGGCCCUCUCCAUCGUGAUGAAGCGGGACGUGCAGAACUUUGAGGCGGUGAUGACGUUCCUGGACGCGACGCACCGCCUGCUGCCCGGGCUGGUUCCCGCCAUCCAACACAUGAAGAUCCAGUUCGGCCUGAAGACCAUGGUCGUCAUGCAGAUGCUGAGGGAAGGCAGAGGGACGGUCCACAUCGUGUCCAGUGUCAUCCGGUUCUUCCCCAACAAGCUGCCUCAGUAUGAAGAUCAGUGCAGCCAAAGAGAAAUGUUCCUGAUGAGGAAGAACCAGGCCGACUUCAGGCGCCUGGCCCAGAACCUGGCCUUCACCAAGGAGAGGCUGCAGGACUACAUGAAGGGCGACAUGGAGGAGUGCUACGGUGAGCGCUACGCCCAAAAGGUGGAGCAGCGGCUGCAAGCUUACCUGCAGGAGCUGCGGAGGACGCUACCUGCAGACGCCUGGAGUGGCAGAACCAACCUGGACCGGCCCGAACCGAGUCUCAUUACUCUGACUCAGAUGAUGAAGAAUCAGCAUCCUGAGGAUGAGGAGGAGAAGAGCGCAUUAGCUGGGAGGAAGCUGCUGCGGUGUGAUGCUUGUCCCUCAGAGACGUCGCAACAGGGACGGCCUGGGGCUGAUUGGGUCCUGAAGGUCGGUUCUGGUUCCAGUCCAGAUGUUGGGGAACCCAAUAGUUCAGAGGACAGAACAGAACCAGGGCCAGUGGAAGAGGAGGACGUUCCCCUGUCCCCUCGGUUCUGCUCCAAGCACCAGCGCUGGAUGGACAACUUCCUGAGAGGCUGUGCUGAGGACGACCCGACCCCGGUCCCGUCCGACCCGACCCCGGUCCCGUCCGACCCGACCCCGGUCCCGUCCGACCCGACCCCGGUCCCGUCCGACCCGACCCCGGUCCCGUCCGACCCGACCCCGGUCCCGUCCGACCCGACCCCGGUUCUGUCCUUGUCUCAGGACCAGACGCCGGCGGACCUGGUCUCUCCUCUGCCCGGAACCUCAGACGGUUCUGCUGGACCCGUCCUGCUGGUUCCAGUGGUCCGGCUGGAGGAUGUCUCGAGGCGACUCGGAUCCAAUCCGUCUCAAACUGUCUCCGCGAUUCUGGUCAAAGCAGCUUCCUGUGGUUCUGGUCCGGGUUCUUGGGCCCGCCGGACAUCAGUGGACCAAAACGUCCUGGAACCUGCAGGUUCUGGCCUGGUUCUGGGAGGACGGACUGCCCCCUCGUCUGACCUACAGAACCGGGCCUCACCGGUUCCGGCUGACCCAGCUCAGCCAGGUGUGCAUCAGAACUCCACCAGAAUCCAUUGUGAAACCCAAACCAGCAGAACCGUUCAGUCCAGAUCCCAGCCGGUUUCUCCUGCCGGCUCCAGAACCUCAGCCCUUCUGGGCCGCUUGCAGCCGUGUGUGGUUCUGACCCGACUGAGCGCCAAGCAAUGCUGCUCCUUCCAGGUCAGCGACCCGGAGGACCGGCCUGGUCCGGCCCGCCGGCCUGGUCCGGCCCGCCGGGCCAGCAGAGACCCGGACUACCGGCCUCAUGUCAACAUGAUGAGAUUCCUGUCAGAGGUCCGCAGGGUCCGGUUCCCUCUGAGGACGGGAAGGAGAGUCCAAAUGGAACCGGGCCGGUUCUGGUUCUAGACUCUGAAUGCAGUAGUGAACCUGCUUUGAUGUUCUGACCUCACAGCAGUGGUCCAAACAGUACCGGUUCUGACCUGGAUCCGGUAUCAGAGUCCCAUUUGACCCAGUUCCAGCAACCAACUGGGUUUACUGGGAAGAAAAAACACAUGCCGCACUUUUAAGAUUGUAAACACUGAACUUCCUCUGCUUGGUGAUGGUCCAGAACCCGGUAGAACCCGCCUCAGCCGGAAGGGCUCAAUCAGGUUAGGUUAGAAGAAGAAGCAGACAUCGUCUCUGGUGUCAGAACCAGAACCAGAACCUGGGUCGGGAAAGUAUUCACUUCCUGUUCUGCCGUUGCUAUGGUGAUGGCACCUCCAGAAGCUGCUGUUGGGUCAGGGACGAUUUACUGUGGUUCUGGUGGUCCUGGUUCCGGUCCAGCCUGAUUAACAGAGUUCUGUGGUGUCAGUGUGUUUGUGUCGCGUCACAUUUGUUCCCCUGAAACAGAGGUCAGAGUCCGGUUGGUUCCUGUGGGGAACCGGAGAACGGGCCAGGUAUCGACCCGGCUGCUGUGGGUUGACCCGAGGUUCUGUUUGCGCUGCGAGGUCGACGGCCGGCAGAGAGCAAACUGUUGCGUCAUUUCAUCAGAACAGAACCGGGCCGGGCAGCGGGUCGAGAUUAACCCCCGAUGGGCCGGAGAGGCUAGUUAGCCUCAUUAGCUUCUGAUCCGUCUUCCCACAGCAUGGCGCUGCCACCACCUUGCUUCACUGUAUGAAUGCUGUGUUCAGGUUGUUACUUUCUCCAACUAGGGAUGGAAAGUUCUGUUUGGGCCGGAUCAGAACUUACAUUCCGACAGACUGUAAUCGAUUGCAGCUUGUUGCUCUGAUCUCUGUUUGCCUCCGCGUGACGAACGCAGCCGGCCCCCCAGCGCCAGCAGACCCGCCACUAUGCCCUCCCAGUAACUGCUGCAGCCGGUCUGGUUCUGGUUACUGAUGGGGGGCGGGGGGCGUUCCCGCUCGGCCCCCGGCCUCGGCCAAUGGGAGCUCUGCGUCUGUGGAGGUUUUGCUGCUCAGCAUCUAUAAAAGCAGCUGGUGGAUAAAAUCCUGAGCGGUUCUCCAGCAGCCGGACGUUAGAGGUUCUGGUUCUAGUGGUUCUGGUUCUAGUGGAUCUGGUUCUAGUGGAUCUGGUUCUAGUGGAUCUGGUUCUAGUGGAUCUGGUUCCAGUGGUUCUGGUUCCAGUGGUUCUGGUGGAUAAAAUCCUGAGCGGUUCUCCAGCAGCCGGACGUUAGAGGUUCUGGUUCUAGUGGAUCUGGUUCUAGUGGAUCUGGUUCUAGUGGUUCUGGUUCCAGUGGUUCUGGUGGAUAAAAUCCUGAGCGGUUCUCCAGCAGCGUUCAGCAGUUUUUUCACAGUGUUCUGCAUCCUGAUUGGCUAAACGGUCUCCGAGGUUCUUCUCUACCUCUCUGCCAAUAACGUUACGGUAUUUAAAUAAGUAAUACAGCUUAAAGGACAUGAAAGCUGAAAACUUUGAAUGCCUGCUGGAAAAACCUGGGCAGAAUCAGCGCAGAGGCCUGAUGAGAUCCAUCGCUCUGCCGUGGAUGCAGCAGCUUGGAGGAGACGCUGUAGUGACACGACUCCUGGUCACAUUAAUGGAUGAACACGGACAUCCGCUGACCUGAAAGCAGGUUUUGUUCUUUAAAUGUAGAGCAUUUAAUGAUGCUGUGUGAUAACUGGACAAACUAAAGGUAACUACU